UGCAACUGUAAAUUCAAAUUUCAUAUGUUUGUGUGCAAUAAUCGAUGACAAGUAUUUUUUUGUUUGCCCAAAAUUCCACUUGCUGAAGUUCUUUGUAUAUUCCAAAGUCAGUUAGUUAUCAUCUUUAUUCGUCGGCUUUUAUUUUCACAACUUUUUGGCCUGUAUUUUAAUUCAGUUUCUCAUUUCGUAUGUUAAGGUAAGAAAUACUGACGAAAAGCUUAUGCUUAUUUGAAAAGAAUUCGUUGAAAUAAUAAUUGAUAUGACACUUGGUACAUUCGCUAUUUAGGCUUAAACUUUUCAUAGCUUUGAUCAACACUACAACCAGCUAGCCCCUUUAUGUUUUGAAACCCCUUUCUUAGAGAGAUUUGCUCAAAGUGGACAUUGGGAGCGCCCAUAUGAGUUUCAGCUUGAUGUGUGCAGCAUUCUAAACAUACUUUCAAGUCUGGAUAUAGACAUAUCCUUAAGGGCAAGCUGCUUCUUGUGCUCAAUGUUUAUACCGACAGUGUAUUAAUAACAUGAUACUUAAUUUUUUAAAGGUUUCAAGAAAAUGAAUCGUAGGAUAAGGGCAUUUGAAAAUUUUUCCAACACUAAGAAGAUUGAAACGAUUUUAAAAGAAAACGGUUACGCGGUUAUUAAAGAUAAGCAUCUAUCAGCAAUGCAGAAUUCUCCAUUAGUUAUCUACUUGAUCAAGUUUUAAUGCUCACGAUUUGAUCAAUCACAUUUUCCUUCUUCAAUGUGCGUCUACUUUACAAAUGUUAAUUGACUCCCGAUUUCUAUUGUGAAUUGUACUUACAUGUUUUAGAGUAUUUCGCCAAUAUACUUGGCGAGAAAACUAAAUUAAUAGCAGUUGCAGUAAUGUCCUUACUUCUCGCUAUUUAUUAUUUGUUUCGUUUGUUUAAACAAUGGUGCACAAAUUGAAGAAAUAAAAGUCGAGUAAGGCGAACUGCAUACGAUAGUCAAUCAUUAUGAAAGCAAAAGUUCAUGUACAAAUCACAUACGUGUAAGCAAUUAAUUCCAAAUUAUUAUACAGAUAGUACAUUACUUUAUCUUCAUUAUGUAAAUUUCAAUUGCAUACCGAUUACCCAGAAAUACCAGUAAACGAAAAUUGUUCGAAUGCGUUAUCUCUUUUUAUGCGCCAAGAUACUCACACAUCAGUAUGUGUCGAUAACAUUUUGUAGUGUGGUAAAACGGGUGUACUAAACGAUAGAAGGCAAAGAGGUGAAAUUAAUAUGGGACAACCGAAGAGCAAAUCAGAAAUAACGAACUGAAUAUACUUAUUCAGAA